UACGGGGGGUGCGAGCGUUGUCCGGAAUCACUGGGCGUAAAGGGUGCGUAGGUGGCCAGGUAAGUUCGGUGUGAAAGCUCGGAGCUCAACUCCGAAAUGUCAUUGAAUACUAUCUGGCUUUAUUGAGGGUCGGAGGGGAGACUGGAAUUCUCGGUGUAGCAGUGAAAUGCGUAGAUAUCGAGAGGAACACCAGUGGCGAAGGCGAGUCUCUGGACGACACCUGACACUGAGGCACGGAAAGCUAGGGGAGCAAACCAGG
rnacentral:rRNA from 1 species